rnacentral:ncRNA from 1 species
GAAGGCGAAAUGAAAGUGUUAAUGAAAAUGAACUGUACUUCUUUAUGGAGUGCUGUUCAAUUUUUCAACAUGAUCGUCCUUUUUUGUGCUUAAUUGUGCAAAAUAAUAGAUGUAUGGGGACGCGCAGUGUGGUGCCGUUGAAUAGUCGCACUGUUCUCUCUUUCUCUUCGGGGUUGGAGGAACAAUUGUCGAUCAGUCGGUUUCGGAGCGUGCACACUGGUACCCGAAAGAUGGUGAACUAUGCUUGAGCAGAAUGAAGCCAGAGGAAACUCUGGUGGAAGUUCGUAGCGGUGUUGACGUGCAAAUCACUCGUCUGACUUGAGUGUAGGGGCGAAAGACUAAUCGAACCAUCUAGUUGCUGGUUCCUUCCGAAGUUUCCCUCAGGAUAGCUGGCAUUUGUUUGUAACAAUUUUAUCCGGUAGAGCGAAUGAUUAGAGGUGUUGGGAACGCAAUGUUCUCAGCCUAUUCUCAAACUUCGAAUGGGUAAGCAAGGCGUUUUGCUUUGAUUUUACGAUGAAAUCGCCCAAUUAGAAUGUAUAAAUGCCUAGUGGGCCAAUUUUGGUAAGCAGAACUGGCGAUGUGGAAUGAACCAAAAGUCAGGUUAAGGUGCCAGACAUUGGCGCUCAUGAAAUACCAGAAAAGGUGUUGGUCGAUAUAGACAGCAGGACGGUGGCCAUGGAAGUUGGAAUCCGCCAAGGAGUGUGUAACAACUCACCUGCCGAAUCGACUAGCCCUGAAAAUGGAUAGCGUUUGAGCUCCAGGCCCAUACCUGACCGUCUCAAUUACGCACUUUUUUUUCGGAAAAGGUGUAAUGAACGUUGAGACGGGUAGGAAGGUCGCGACAGUGUUGCUUUGAAGAGUUUUGAGCGUGAGCUCGCUCGGACGAAUCCACCACAGUGCG